rnacentral:rRNA from 1 species
GACGAACGCUGGCGGCGGGCUUAACACAUGCAAGUCGAACGGAAAGGCCCUGCUUUUGUGGGGUUCUCGAGUGGCGAACGGGUGAGUAACAUGUGAGUAACCUGCCCUGGACUUGGGGAUAACUUCAGGAAACUGGUGCUAAUACCGGAUAGGAGCUCCUGCUGCAUGGUGGUGUUUGGAAAGUUUCGGCGGUUGUGGAUGGACUCGCGGCUUAUCAGCUUGUUGGUGGGGUAGUUGCUUACCAAGGCUUUGACGGGUAGCCGGCCCGGGAGGGUGACCGGCCACAUGGGGACUGAGAUACGGCGCAGAGUCGUACGGGAGGCAGCAGUGGAGAGUCUUGCACAGUGGGCGGAAGUGUGAUGAGGAAAUGCCCGGUGCGGAAAGAACGCCUAGUGGUUGGGAACCGCAGUAGGCUGAGACGAAGCGGGAGUGACGGUAAUGGGAAAAGAAGCACCGGCUAACUACGUG